AUUCCGUGAUGAGGGCACUUCCAUAAUAAUUAUUUGUACCUUUCCCAUGCCUUACAAGGACUCAUCAUCCAUUUGUUGGAAAGCAGUGACCUCAUUCCUCAACUU
rfam:Gossypium hirsutum cultivar TM-1 chromosome 24, whole genome shotgun sequence